UAUACCCUAUUUCCUUUUAACCGCAGAUAUGGAAAGAUGAUUGCUAUGGACGGCUUUCUACUAUCUAAUCGAGCUGCUCAUCUUCCUCGCACAGCUACAUAGCUUAGUAUCAGUGGAAACGGUCACAUAGUUUCACAGCUUAGCUGUUACAUCUUCGUAGCAUAGUUACAUAGCACAUCUCUGGUGGAAAAACACUCUAAGAGUCCCGAUGUGACUUGAAACUACUACAGCUUUCCUUUAAAUGAGUAAGCCGCAUGUUUGUUUUAAUUUAGUGUGUCUCACGGUAGUUGCUAAUGAUCUCUAAUAAUAAUAUAUUUACGGGCUAGUAGUCACAAAUACGACUUAUCUCUAGAACAUUAGUUCGAUUGGAAGACGCUCUUUAUU